AACACGUUUUGGUAAGAACAUUGAAGUGAACCCACAAAUGUUGUAAAUACAAACAGUUGAAGUAGUCAUGGUCAAAGGUUGUAGGCUGCAUCAAAUGCAUGAAAGUUUGGCACCGUCGAUAUCAGCCAGUUGAAGGCGAAGUUGACGAGCGCGUGACAGAACUGUGCGCGAUUAAAUCUACAGCUAUCGUGAACGCAGAGGAAGAUAACUCGAUCGUCGAGAAAUUUUUGAAGCACCCCUGUCGACGGAUCUACCGCAAAAUGGGCCAUGGCCAGACAGCAGGUGUUGUUCUGGAACUGAGCGAUUUGAUAAACACAACUACAAAAAGAGACCAAAAAAUGUUGGCCCUCUUAUAGAAAUAUGUCUGCGCUCUUACACAUAUCUUGGAUAUCACGAUAAAAAUUAAUAAAUCACUCAUAGAAGCCAAUGAAGUAAAUUACUUAUGAAUACAUGCAUACAUCCCAGAGCUGACGAGGAGUCUCCAAGGAAAUAGGCUGUACAACUAGAUGAAAACAAUGGACUCAUUAUUGCACAUUCAAUGUGUAUGAUAUAGAAUAUAUUUUCAGAACCAGUAAUAUUGUAAAAUAAUGGGACUAUAAAAUAAAAAAAACAUUUGAAGAAGUCACUCGCAAUUAAAUCAACGAAGAAUUAAUAGAAUACCAUAUUGCCAACAUAUAAUACCUACAUGAAUUAUUCUACAUAUACUUUUAGUCCUAUAUUUAAUGUUGAGUGUCUAUGCUCAAGGAACAAUUAAUUUCUAAGUACUAUCAAUUAGAAAAUUCGAUUCCAAAAAAACGAUAUGAGGAAUUACGGUUAACUAACUUGAACCAUAAAAAA